rnacentral:lncRNA from 1 species
GCUCUAUUGUUAUCACAAUACUACUGUAUGUGAUCAACAAUAUCAGGAACUACUCCAAGUUCAUUUAUGAACAUCAUGAUCCAUAUUGCAACUCUUUGCUACUUCUGAAGUAUCCAUGUAUUAGGUUUCUACUAUUGAAUCAACGGUUGCUUCACGUUUGGAACCUUUCCAACAUACCGCUUAAGAGUAAACCAGUUUCUCCAUAUGAAAUCUUCUCAAGAUUUCAUCUAUGUAAAUUGGGAUAAGUUAAGCAAUCUUCUAGAUCUACCUCUAUAGAUCAAGUUGCUUAUCCCAUAUCGUUUAUGAAUAAAUCCUUUAACAACCAUUAUUUCAACGAUUGAAACAUAGGGAUGUCGUUUUAGGAAUACGAAAAAUGCUCCCACUAUCUUCUGGUAUACACACAAUUCGUUUUUAAAUUUGAUAAAAUCAAACACUUUGACUUUUCAUCAAAUCUAAGAUUUCAGCUCCAAGAGACUUCUCUUAACGUAUAGUCACGAUAUGCAACUGUUGCAAACAAAACCCGAAUGGACUUAAGCAAGGCUAUAGGAGAACUAUUUCACCAAGGUCAACAUUUAACCUUUGCUUCUAGC